rnacentral:rRNA from 1 species
CUACCACAUCUAAGGAAGGCAGCAGGCGCGAAAAUUACCCAAUACUAAUACAGUGAGGUAGUAACAAUAAAUAACACAGCCCAGCAUUUCAUGUUGGGCUUUUGGAAUGAGAACAAUUUAAAUCCAUUAUCGAGGAUCAAUUGGAGGGCAAGUCUGGUGCCAGCAGCCGCGGUAAUUCCAGCUCCAACAGCGUAUAUUAAAGUUGCUGCAGUUAAAAAGCUCGUAGUUGGAUUUCUAGCGAGGCACGAGAAUAUCCACCUAUGGUGAAUACUUCUCUCGCCUUGCUCUUCUUUAAUUGAUGUCUCUGGCAUUAAGUUGUCGGAGUCCUGAGACUAAUCGUUUACUGUGAGAAAAUUAGAGUGUUCAAAGCAGGCUUAUGCCGUUGAAUAUAUUAGCAUGGAAUAAUAAGAUAGGACUUCGGUACUAUUUUGUUGGUUUGCGUACUGAUGUAAUGAUAAAUAGGGACUGGCGUGGGUAUUCGUAUUUUAAUGUCAGAGGUGAAAUUCUUAGAUUAUUGAAAGACGGACGACUGCGAAAGCAUCUACCAAGUAUGUUUUCAUUAAUCAAGAACGAAAGUAUGGGGAUCGAAGAUGAUUAGAUACCAUCGUAGUCUAUACCAUAAACUAUGCC